rnacentral:rRNA from 1 species
AGCGAACGCUGGCGGCAGGCUUAACACAUGCAAGUCGAACGCCCCGCAAGGGGAGUGGCAGACGGGCGAGUAACACGUGGGAACGUACCCUUUGGUUCGGAAUAACUUGGGGAAAACCAAGCUAAUACCGGAUAAGCCCUUAUGGGGAAAGGUUUACUGCCGAAGGAUCGGCCCGCGUCUGAUUAGCUAGUUGGUGAUGUAAUGGCUCACCAAGGCGACGAUCAGUAGCUGGUCUGAGAGGAUGAUCAGCCACACUGGGACUGAGACACGGCCCAGACUCCUACGGGAGGCAGCAGUGGGGAAUCUUGGACAAUGGGCGCAAGCCUGAUCCAGCCAUGCCGCGUGAGUGAAGAAGGUCUUCGGAUUGUAAAGCUCUUUUGCCAGGGACGAUAAUGACGGUACCUGGAGAAUAAGCCCCGGCAAACUUCGUGCCAGCCGCCGCCGUAA